AUCGCUUCUUGGCCUUUUGGCUAAGAUCAAGUGUGGUAUCUGUUCUUAUCAGUUUAAUAUCUGAUACGUCCUCUAUCCGAGGGAAAAAAAAAGAAAAAGAAAAGCUACUGUUGUUUGUAUGUUUAUUUUUAACCUCAACUUUACUGAAUUGGUCUAUCAGUUCUAACAGCUUUUUGGUGGAGUGUUU